UUCAACUGUGUAAAUUCAAUUGAAUUUCAUCUUUGUCUUCCCUGUAAACGAAAGAUUCUGGAUGCUUGAUGUUUCAGUUGCCUUACUAAUUCUUUCUUGUAAUUUAUAUAAGUGUUAAAAAAGAUUCUACUUGAUGAGUCUGUAACCAAUCGAAGACCAUACCAUAGCAGACAAGACAACAACUUCUACUAAUGAAGACAAGGAAGAUGACUACUUUUUAGGCAACAAAAGAAAUAAAAUGAAGACAUUUAUGCUGAAAAUCAUUCAAUGUAGGCAGAGGAUAAGGGUUCAUGCGGUAAUUUUACUUC
rnacentral:lncRNA from 1 species